CCUACGGGUGGCAGCAGUGAGGAAUAUUGGUCAAUGGGCGAGAGCCUGAACCAGCCAAGCCGCGUGAGGGAGUACUGCCCUAUGUGUUGUAAACCUCUUUUGUCGGGGAGCAAAAGCUGGACGUGUCCCGCUGCGAGAGUACCCUAAGAAAAAGCAUCGGCUAACUCCGUGCCAGCCGCCGCGGUAAUACGGAGGAUGGGAGCGUUAUCCGGAUUUAUUGGGUUUAAAGGGUGCGUAGGCCGGAUGUCAAGCGUGGUGUGAAAUGCCCGGGCUCAACCCGGGCCUUGCAGCGGGACCUGGCAUGCUUGAGUGCGAGGAAAGCAGGCGAAAUGCGUGGUGUAGCGGUGAAAUGCAUAGAUAUGACGAAGAACACCGAUUGCGAAGGCAGCUUGCUGCAGCGGAACUGACGCUGAUGCACGAAAGCGCGGGUAUCGAACAGGAUUAGAUACCCCAGUAGUC
rnacentral:rRNA from 1 species